GAAUUUAUAUUCAGUUGCGCCCUCGUGUGUGAUUAAAUUCACAACAGCGUCUAUAACAUCAAUAUCUGUAGAAAAUAUACACCUGACAGUAUCUGGCGAUACAAGGCAUGAAUUGCUGUGGUAUCUGGCCAUUUGGGAAACCCGGUGUACCUUACAAGAGGCUCGCUGAUGUAGAAACAGAUGAGAGAAUGGAGAUGGAGAUCAGGCUGGGUAUGCCCCCGGGGGUGUUGGCGGCCGACCUGAUUAGGAGCACCAAGGAUAAGCAGGUCCUGGAGCAACUCUAUCUUCUGGCCGUGCAGGCAAAUAAUUUAACAGAGCACAUCAAGAGAUUUACCUUGGGUGAGAUACCAGAAGAAUGUAAAAAUGUUACCAGAUCUCAAUUGGAAAAAUUAAAGUCUGUCCAACACAUAAUUUGGAACACAAUGAUAUCAUUGGCUGCUGGGGCAAUAAGUGUAGAUGAGGCCACACUUCCAGCCCUGCUGGACAAGAGGGCAGAGGAAACGGUGGCUCUUCUCGAGAUGGAGAAAAUAGCCACAGCAGUCAAACUGGAUGAGACGGCCGCAUGGGCCACUGACAUUGCUGGUAUUGUAUCUAGCCAACCUUUGGCCACGCCCCCAAGUGAGUCACCCGACCAAAUAGCACUGAAAAAAGCCACACAACUUUCAAAUGCUGUUUAUUGAAACUGGUCACACACAUCAUUUUGUGUGCAGUUUUAUUAAUUCACCCCACUUGACCCAAACCCCCGCCCCUCCCUAGAAGGCUUUCCUGGCCUCUGUUUGCUGUAUCGCCUAUUCUUUUCUUCAGCAAUUUCAGACUUGUCUGCAGCUUCGUGCGGAACCCUAAUAAACUGUACAACAGCUAAA
rnacentral:tmRNA from 1 species